AGGACUGGAUACACAAGAAAAGCUUUGAUAUGAUAGCCUCAAGAAUUCCAAAACCACAAAACCCAGGUCAUGGAGGGACUGGAGAAGGCGCAAAAAAGACUUACAAAGAUGAUAUCAAUACUGAGGCAGUAAUGUAAUGGAGAUCUUUAUGAUUAUGAAGGGUUUGAUAAGGCUGUUCUUUGAUGUUUAAAGAUGAAAUAUGUAAUAGUGGAAAAACAGAGCAAGGAACGUGACACUGCUAUGGUCUGGGCUAACAUGAAUGGCACUGAAAAGCUGCAGCUUCUUGUGAUAUCAAAGUGCAAGAAACCAUGUUGUUUCACAAAUGUCAAGAAACUACACGCAGUAAGGCACUAACAAAACCACCCAGAUGACCUCCAGCAUUUUUGAGGCAUGGAUCAGGAAAGUUGACAAAACAUACCAAUGAAAGAAAAGGAAGAUUGUCAUCAAUACAGGCAACUACCCUGCGCACCACGACAUUGCUGGCCUCAAGAGCAUCAAGUUCAUGUUCUUGCUUCCCAACACCAUGGCCAAACUCCAGCCAAUGGAUCAAGGAUGAUUAGGAAUUUGAAAGCCCAUUAGCGACAGCUGAUCUUUCUGAUUAUUGAGAUCAUUGAUAGAAGGAGUACAAUCCACUCUACCAGAGGUUGUGUACACGGCAAAACAGCGUGGAAGAUGGUGACAGAAGCCACACCUGCCAACUUCUUCCGCCACAUUGGGUUCAAACACGUUACGACUACACAAGACAGCAAGAACAAGGAGGAGCAGACUGAGGCCAACCAACCGAUGACGAGGCACCGUUUGCUCGGCUGCGGAAGGCCAACAUGGAAAUUCCAGCAGAGACAAUCAUGGAAACUCAUGGGGAGAUGGACGAUGCACAACAGAGCUGGGAGACAACAUCAUCAUAGAUGCAGGAUGUUCUUCAACCAAGGAGCACAAGGAGGCUGAUGUUCCUAAAGAGUCCAAUGAAUUCCUGGCCACUCACCCAUCUGUUUCCCUAUCCGAUGCUAUAAAAGCCAUAGAGAUGCUUUGAAAUAUCACAAUGCAGCACAAAAACAUGUUUGAUUGCACUGACAACAUGGCUGUGUUGCAUGCAUCCAAAAAAUAGCAGUUGAGCAGAAAAAGAUUACAGAGUUUUUCCAGAGCUAACUCCCAGCUUUUUCUCAAUGCAAAGUGGCAUUCAUUUGCAAGGUCAGAUUCUUGUAAGGU